rnacentral:rRNA from 1 species
UACGAAGGGGGCGAGCGUUGUUCGGAUUUACUGGGCGUAAAGGGCGCGCAGGCGGUUCUGUUUUUCGAGUGUGAAAGCCCCGGGCUCAACCUGGGAACUGCGCUCGAAACGGCGGAACUAGAGUUCGGGAGAGGAGAGUGGAAUUCCCAGUGUAGAGGUGAAAUUCGUAGAUAUUGGGAAGAACACCGGUGGCGAAGGCGGCUCUCUGGACCGAUACUGACGCUGAGGCGCGAAAGCUAGGGGAGCAAACAGG